rnacentral:lncRNA from 1 species
CCUCUUUCUAAUGAUAUAUAACAUUAUAGUAUUCAAACAAUUUGAAAUUUUUACUCACGUACCUAGUAAGAGUAAUAAAAUUAUUUUAUUCAACAUUACGAAUUGAAUUACGAGAAGAAGUCGUUGUAAUUAAUUUAAAACAUAUUGCAUCACGAGAAGAAUAGAAAAAAUAUUGCUAUACUUAAGUAUCAAGAUUAAAAUACUGAUGUACCGUUAAAAUGAAGGUGGUAAUAAAGUUUACAAAAUUUGCUCUGGCUGAAUUUUUCAAUGAAAAAACAAUAUGUGUGCCAUGAAUGUAAUCUAUUUUUCAUGGCGUAUCAAUGAAAGUUUGGUGUAUUGGCCAAAUCACUUGCAAGCAUCUUGCCUUUAAGCUGCCAUAUGUAAAGUCAUGCUUUUAAAAGUAACUGAAAGCAACUGAAAAUAAUAAUUUUUUGAUGAACUUUCUUACUUCGGUUGGAGGAGAUGAGAAACAACUUACAGCGACAAUCUUAAUACAGUUAAUGGCCAAAGAAGUAUGUUUUUCAUACUCAGUGUAUGGAAGGAACCAAAAACGUCCUGCAAGGUCGUUAUAGAUUUGCGUUUAGUCAUUUAUCGUUGUAUUCGUUUCUUUCGAAAUUGCUACUGACAAAAGUAGUAAAGAAAAAAUUGGCAGCUUUCUGGCGAGGGCCAUUAAUAGAGAUUACGGAAGAAAAAUAGAACCGUAACUGAGCAACACCCAAUAUUGAGCAAUGAAAUAAGUAUCGCCAAAAUAAUGAAAGUCGAUGCCCACUAUCUCAUAGUGAGAGUAUAAUACAGUAGUUUAUAGAUAUAUAUUUAUAUAUACAUAUUUUUUGUACCUGUAUUUAAAUAGCAUUGAUUUUAUUUUGUUAUAUUUUGGUUUUGGAAAACUCUAUACCUCUUCUUUUCAUUUGUAUCUGUUUCAUAUCACUUCAAAUAAAUUUAAUUUUU